rnacentral:misc_RNA from 1 species
GCGAGACUUAGCGCUCCAACCCUUGUGAACAUACCUAUCGUUGCUUCGGCGGACCGCCCCGGGCGCACCCUCGGGUGCAUGCCCGGAACCAGGCGUCCGCCGGAGGCCCUAAACUCUUGUAUUAUAGUGUACUUCUGAGUGGCAUAACGCAAUAAAUCA